UUGCUUGUUUUCCCGCUAAUUCAAGGAAGAACAACAUUUCUAGGUACAGGUACGUACUCCUCCCUCUUUUGUCCCGUAUCUAUGUCUUUUUGGGUUGUUUUAUUUGUCCCAAAUUAUUUAUCAUUUUAGAGUUCCAAUAAAAUAUUAAUUGCAUUUUUAUCAAUAUUGCUCUUAACACUCUUAAUUGGUUAAUUUAAAAAAUAAAAUAAUGACAAGGAUAUUUUAGUAUUUACUAUGUUAUUUUUAGUAUAAUCUAUCCAUAUUUACUGAGUACCUUAAUAUACGCACAACCAUCCAAAACGACAUAUAAUAUGGGACGAAGGGAGUAUAUAUAUUAGAUUAUAAGUAUAUAGUCUAGAAAUAAAUCUGCAUAUAGUACUUUCACGGUUUAUUAUAUCCCACAUUCCGUGAUUUUCAUUAGAUGAUACCCGGUUGUGCUCUUGUAUCUAUUCGAUGCACGUUUUACAUACGUCCACAUGGUUAUGUGUAAAUGUUUAGAGAUAUAUGAUAUGGUAAAAUUUUUGAAGUUUAAAAUCUACAAGAAUGGGCUUUCAUAAAUGAAUAUUUGUGUGUGAGUGUGAUUAUUUUGUUAAUAUUUAUAUAUGUAUAUGACAUGUAGUGUUCUAAAAAAGGGUCAAGGAGGCCGAUUAAUCCAUAGAGGCUGAUGUGAACCUUAGCCUUUACUAUUUUGAUGUAAAUGUUUAAAAAAUGAUUUUCGGCCUUCUAAUGAGCUUUCAGGCACUCCGAGGUGGUAAAUCCUGGAGGUGAAAAUCGGUUUUUCCAAUCAAAAGCUGUUUUGUUUCCUUUCAUAAAUAAAUUAAAAAAAAAAUUGGGCUUUUAGUUCAAACUUGUUCUAUUCCUCCCUCUCUCUCGACUUUGUUGUUCCUCUAAGAAAGAAAGCAACUGUGCACUCACCCAUAAUAGGCCGCUGUCGUGCGCUACGAAUUGACGACGGACGAGGCGGCAACGCCCUUCGACGACGGCACUGAACAUAGCCUACAGCUGCCAGUUGGUUCUUCAUUUUGGGAUGCGUUAUUUUUAUUCUUCAAUUCUUCAUAAGAGGCGACUAUUUCAAAUACACUUCUUUCCCAGUUUAAUACCACCUAAAUAAAAAAAUAGAUAGUAAAUAGGUAAUAAAUUUAUAAUAACAUAAAUACCAAUAUAACAUUAAUGAAAAACAAUAUCACACAAAUAUAAAAAAUCUCAUUUUUUUUAAUACCAUAAACAACUCUCACACCCCUCUCCGUCUUCUUCCCAAACCCCCUCCUACUCCUUCUUCACAAAACCCCCAAAAAACCUCCAAAUUCAAAGAAUCAAAACCUCAAAAAUCAUGCCAAAUGAAGUCACAAGACAAUAAAAUGGUAGUUUACACGGACAGAGAACCGAUAUAGUUAUGUAUCCAUGUCAUUUUCAAGCUUGGAAGUCGAUUUUCAAGGUUUUUUUUUUUGUUUUUGAAAUCGGUCUCCAUUUCUCGACAUAUACAGGUCGAUUUUUUUGUGAUUUUCUCUUUUUUAGAGGACUAAUGCCAUUUUUUUUCUUGUAGUGCAUAUAAACUUUGUACAUUUUAAUAUAUCCAAAAACUUCAAACAUGCUGGUGUAGAUAUAUCGAUAUUGUUUAAUCCAUCACGGGCUUGUUGACUCUUUCUUUUUAUUAUUUCAGAGUAUGGUUCCAAAAAAAAUUAUCAAAUACAGGCUCCACGAAGACUGGCAAGUCCACCUCCGCCGCCGCCACGGCCACCAAUCGGGCCUCACCCGUGAAUAAGUGAAAGACACAAAACCUCAAAUAGUAGAAAAACUUCGGAUAUGUCGAUUUGGACAUAUUUUGAGGAUCAUUUUCAUUUUACUUUCCGG
rnacentral:lncRNA from 1 species